rnacentral:rRNA from 1 species
CAAUAGCGUAUAUUAAAGCUGUUGCGGUUAAAAAGCUCGUAGUUGGAUUUCUGUCAAGGACAACUGGUCCGCCCCUCGGGUGAGCACAUAGUUUGGUCUUGGCAUCUUGUUGGAGACUGUUGCUGCACUUGGUUGUGUGGCGCAGUGUCCAGCACUUUCACUUUGAGGAAAUUGGAGUGUUUCAAGCAGGCACAUGCCUUUGGACACAGUAGCAUGGAAUAAUUAGAUUGGGCUUUUGCUCCAACUUGUCGGUUUCUGGAGCUGAGGUGAGAAUUAAUGGGGAUUGUUGGGGGCAUCCGAAUUUAGCCGUCAGAGGUGAAAUUCUUGGAUCUGCUAAAGACGGACAACUGCGAAAGCGUUUGCCCAGGAUGUUUUCAUUGA